GCAGCUUCAGCUCCAGCCAUGGCUAAAAGGGACCAAGGUACAGCUUGGAUCAUGGCUUCAUAAAGUGCAAGCUCCAAGCCUUGGCAGCUUCCAUAUGGUGUUGAGCCUGCAGGUGCACAGAAGUCAAGAAUUGAGGUGGAAGGAACUUGCCUUGUCUCAGAUGAGACUUUGGACUUGGACUUUUGAGUUAAUGCUGGAAUGAGGACUCAGGCUUGCAGACCUGCAUCCUCUGGAAUGUUGUUGGUCACCAUGGCUGGAGGAAGGGAAGAUGUCUCCUCCGCUGAACCUAAAGGCUUCUACCUGAAGAGACGUACAUCAAUUCUGCUCACAUUUCAUUGGCCAAAGCAAGUUACAUGGCCACACCUAAUUUCAAGGAUUUGGGGAAUUGUGGUCUAAUAUGAGGAUCACUUGCUAAUACAUUAUAUGGCUUGAGAACACUGCAGGAAGAGAAAGUCUGGAAAUAUUGAUAAAUAGUUCUAAUGACUGCUUUAGUACCAAAUUCACAAAAUUGUCCUGUGAGCUCACUUGACUCUAGUGGUGUUGACUAGCCCUAAUAAGAGUUUGGAUGUUGUCCCCACCCAAACCUUAUAUUCAAAUGUAAUCCCCAGUAUUGGAGGUAGGGCUUGCUGGGAGGUGAUUGGCUCAUAGGGGUGGAUUUCUUAUGAAUGGUUUAGUAACAUCCCCUUGGUAUUGUCCUCACGAUAGUGGGUGAGUUCUCAUGAUAUCUGGGUCAUUUAAAAGUGUGUAACACCUCUCCUCUCUUUCUCUUGUUCCUGCUUUCACCAUGUGCCAUGAUUGGAAGCUUCUUGAAGCCUCCUGAGAAGCAGAUGCCACUAUGCAGCCUGCAGUUCCUGUACAGCCUGCAGAACUGAUCAAAGGAAUACCAGUCUACUAGAAAAAAAAGAGGAUAUUUUUUACUGGCCUCACCCAUGAUGAAGACACUUUGAUGAUGGAAGAUCCCCCUAACUUUAUUCUACCUUACUUGACCCCAGAUAUGAAUACCUACAAGUGAAACCUUGCUUCUUCAUUUUGCAAUAUGAAGAAAUGCUUGCUGGGGGAACUUUCUAGCCGGAUACCCUUGAAUGCACUUCCUGAUGAAGUGGGAGAUGCGCCAGCUGCCACUACAGAUGCUGAAAGAACUGGGAACAAGUGAAGCUGAUUGUAAUAAUAUGUUGCACAAGACUGAAGGAGCUAUGGUGAUGGAGAGCCCCAGUACAGUGUGGAGGUACCAUCCAGCUAAACAAAGGCCAAGGCAAAAUUUGGCCCAUUCCUCUAGCACAACUAUGAGGAUUACUUGCUAAUAUAUUACAUGACAUGAGAGCGCUGCAAAGUAUCUCUUAAAAAGAAAAAGAAAUAGUAGCAUCAGGGAGAAACUGAAAGGUUUUUGUUCCUAGGAAUUAUAAUUGGCAAUUUAAGUAGAUUGUAUAGGCUGUGAUUUCAGAGACAUGGAGAAGGCUCUCAGCCAAGAAAUAUAUCAUUUUACUACUUGCAAAUGCUAUCAUUUCCAUCAAUAGAGAUAUAUUUAAGUCCUGUCCUGUUGUUAAAAUAAAAGUUUAGGGCUUAGUAAAUCAGCGUCAAAUCAUUUAUACCUGACUAUGAAUUAAUUAGUAUAUUACCGUCCUAGCCCAGAGAUUUGUUGACAUAUCCCAGCAGCAAAAUGGGGGAGAAAGAAAAAUAAAAGAGUGUUUCAUGUUUGAAGGAGAUGUUACAGCAUACAGGAACAGAUUACUUUAGACUUCAAAAGCAGAGGGGUGGGAAUGAGGUUUCUGGGGAUAUAAUACAAAGAGGAAGACAGAUAGUGAAGGCAAAGGUAAAGUUAAAUUUUAUUCCUUCAUUUGAAUGUUUUUGUUUGUUCAAUAAAUUGAUUGAUUGAUUGAUUGAGCCAUUUGCAAAACACUGGAUUUUUUAAGGCUAAGAGAUACUAACAUUUUAGGCCAAAGAUGAAGACUUAAUAAUUAGUAUUGUUUUUUUCUUUUCACUACUUGUAACUGCCUUUUCACUGCCUAGAAUACCACCAGGCACAUGUCAGAUAAUAAAUAUUUUUUUCAUGACUGGAUAAGUGAAUGAAUAAAACUAAAGCUCUAAAAGCAAAUAAACAGUGUUUCCUUCAAAGUUAUCACAUGG
rnacentral:lncRNA from 1 species